AAUAGUUUCCCCAACUAAUCCACCCCUUCGGCAGAUUCUUGAAAAGGCUGAUGGCAUUUGAAUAAGCAAGAUUAGCCCCUUCACAAUCACUAAGCUUCAACAGAAAGUCUCCCUUGAGGCGAAAGAUUUCAGCUUUGUGUUUAACAGAGCAAUCAUUAAGCUUCAACAGAAAGUCUCCCUUGAGGCGAAAGAUUUCAGCUUUGUGUUUAACAGAAAAAUACUCAAGAUUAGUACUGUUUAUCAAAUUAAGGCCGCUAGUCAGCUCUCCCUUCAUUUCUAGAUAAGCCUUUGCUUGUUCUCUUAUUUUUACAAA
rnacentral:lncRNA from 1 species